AGUGAACGCUGGCGGCAGGCCUAACACAUGCAAGUCGAGCGGCAGCGGGUUCCCGCGAGGGGAUGCCGGCGAGCGGCGGACGGGUGAGGAACACAUCGGAAUCUGCCUGGUUGUGGGGGAUAACGUAGGGAAACUUACGCUAAUACCGCAUGCGACCCUGAGUCGACGGACUGGGGGUGAAAGUGAGGGACCUUCGGGCCGUCACGCGACCAGAUGAGCCGAUGUCGGAUUAGCUAGUUGGCGGGGUAACGGCCCGCCAAGGCGACGAUCCGUAGCUGGUCUGAGAGGAUGAUCAGCCACACUGGGACUGAGACACGGCCCAGACUCCUACGGAGGCAGCAGUGGGAAUCUUGGACAAUGGGCGCAAGCCUGAUCCAGCCAU
rnacentral:rRNA from 1 species